AAUCAUAUAAUUUCAGGAUAAUAUAUAAGUUUUUGGAUUUUGGACAUUAACAUAGUAUAAUAUUCAAAGUAUAACACGCUUCAUUGGAAAAAUUCAAUGUUACGAAAUAGAAAUAUGACAAAACAGAGAUAAUUCGAUCUGGGUCAUUUUAUAACCUAUGGAUUUACCGUUUUGUGUUGAAUUAUUGAAAUUCACAGUUUUUGGAAAUCAGAAUGAAGAGAAUAGGACCUCCAAAGAAAUGGACAAGACAUCGGAUAUAUGAUGUGUUGUUUCAAUCAUCAGUGAAGGCCUUGCAUGUAUCAUAUUUCCUCUUGACGGGGCUUUUUAUUGUGCAGGUGGUUGGAUAUGUUAAAGUCGAUAAACCCAAAUUUCUUGAGGAACACAAGAGGAAAGAAGCAGAGAGGAUGGCUGAACUACAAGAAAAGGCAGAAAAAGAGAGACUUGGAUUUCAGACAACAUAGUGAUCUCUAGUGGAUGUACAUAUUUUGUAAAUGUGAAAGCUUGUAUGGGUGAAGAUAGUGAGCGAUGUUGUACAAUGGUGUGCUAGUCUGUAAGUAAUCACAGACUCUGGUCCUCUCAUUCAGAAUGUAUUGUACAAAUUUUUAUGUGAGUUUUUGUGACCUGUUGUUAUAAAAUAUCCGAAUUUAUCAUUGACGAUUGGGGAGUGAAAUUCCCUCUUCAGGGGGGAUUAAAAAAUUUGAUGUAUGGUACGCUGAAGAAUGUACUUUUACAAGGUAGUGUGAAAUUAGGAUUGGACAUGGUAUCAAAAUGAUUUUACAGGACACAUAUUUUUACACAACUCAUGGAUUGGAAAUAAAGUUUCUAAAAGAC
rnacentral:sRNA from 1 species